ACAUAAGGGAAGAGAGCCAUCCACACUUCCUUAAGGUCCUCAGCUGGCCUACUCACCCAUAAAUCUAUCUGGCCCUGACCAUCCUCUUGUCUAUGACAGGCUGGAUACAGGAUGCUAUAUGGUCCGGUAUCUUCCCCAAGAAGCUCAAUCCCAACCUUAAAUAUCACAACUUCUUCCUGAGGCAGGGGGUGGGGGAAAAAGGGAGGCCUGUCAGUAGUUAGCAACUCUGAUGUCACUCCUAAUGUUGUGGCAGAAUUGUGAAUAGGUGUAAUGUCUAAUAAAUCCUAAAAACCCUG
rnacentral:lncRNA from 1 species